UAUUGUGGACAUUGCUGCUAUAAACAUUGGGGUGCACGUACCCCUUCGGGUCCCUACAUUUGUAUCUUUGGGGUAAAUACCCAGUCUUACUGUUCUUUUUAAAUGAAGGAAAUCCUAAGUAUCGCCAUAGUGAAUUCUAUAGUUAAAUGUGCUCUUUGAUUUUGCUUUUGCCAACUUGGAUAUGCACUGUGGAGAACUAUUUUAUAACACAACAAAAAUAUCACCAUUGAUAGGAAGUAACCAUGGGUUGAAUACAUGCAAAUCUAUUACCAUUGUCUUAAGAUUCUUCCUCUAGAAGGAAUACGUGUAGGGAAGAUUGAGUUCAAAUUGAGAGAUAUCCACUGGAUUUUUUCAAUAUAUAAUAAGCAAGGAAGGGUUGAUAAAAGCCCUUGCACAAUAAGGUGAAAUAAGCCAGAAUUUUAGGUAGCAAGCUAAAUAAAUUUUGCAAAGUGGCACUAUACAAGGUUUAUAUGAUUAAGGUAUUAUGGUAUGCUUUGUGAAUAGUAUAUUCCAAAUAUUGUUCAAUACUAAUCAUUUAUGAAAUGGAUUUCUAGUAUAAAAAAGUAAUUUCUAUAGUUUUUCAGUGCUUAUUAUAAUUUUAAGCAGUGAAAUUAAAUGAAUAAUGAACGUAUAAGUUUGACUAAGGCAUAGAUGAGAGAAAAUUAUGUAAAAUCUUAGGGUAGAAAGGUGUGAACAGGAGCUGAGAUAUGAGACAUGCUUCUUUCUCAAAUCUUUGCUGGAAUGCAGGAUGGUUUUCUCUGUUUUUCCUGUGCUGAUAGUGCCAUUUCCAAGAUGACCUUCAGCAGGAUUAGCCUUCCUGGCUCAUGCAUGGAGCUGAAAGAGCCUCGUGCACCCUCUUCCCACAAACUGAGAUAACCAAAAGGCCUUGAGAUUGAUGUUUUUCUGCCUGCUCUAUAAAAGGCCAUCUAUUUUUCUUUUUUUUUUAACCUUUAUUAUCAUAUAUUCUAUGUGAUACAAAAUGAUUAAAAUAUAUUAAAACAUCACCCACCAUCCAGGAUAUUUCUCUACAAAACUUUUUGAAAAUAGUUUCAUCUAUACUGUAUAGUCAAUUUUACAGCCUUCCUUUUUCACUUAAUGUAUCAGUGGCUUCAUUCUUUUACAUGGUAUAUGUAUAUUAUUAGUGGCUGCAAUAUAUUACAUCAAAUGGCCUUUUAUUUAACCACUGCCCUAAUUAAACAUAUAGGUUAUAUCUGUUUUUUUACUAAAACAAAUAACAUUUCAGAGAAUAUUUUAGCACUUAUUACUUUUUUCCAUAUUUUAAAUUAUUUCCUUGGAAUACUUGCCAAGAAUUGGGAUUACAAAAUUAAGAAAUCUUAAUAGCACUUGAUAUUUAUUGCCAAAUUAUUUCUAAAUUGACCUUGUCAAUAUCAUUGGCAUUGGAUGAGGGUGUUGGUUUCAUCAUACCUUUUAUAAGUUUUGUUUUUUAUCUCAGUUUGUGUUCACUGAGAAGGUACAAAGAACACAUGCUCCAUUAAUUUACCCUUGAUCCACCUAAGCAAGGGUACAAAAAAACCUGGAAAACUGUGAGCAGAGCUGUGGUAUAUAGUGCUGACCCUAGAGCAUCAGUGGGAAAGACAGGGAAAAUGUCACUACUCAUCCACUCCAUUUUGUGCAAAACGGCCAAGUGUGCCAGGGUUGGAGCCUGCCUGUUGUCUAGAGAAUGGUUGCUUCAAAAUUAAAUACUACCCAGGCUGAUGUAAAGAAAGUGUCUGGGGUUAACCAUGUUCUUUGGUAAAGAGUUUUUACUGGGCCACAGUUCAUCACUAAAGAUAGAAAAUGUCGCACCUAGGUUAAAAAAAAAAAAAGCCUAUCUAGAGUAAAAAUCUACUUUAAUAACCUAGUAAAACUGUUCUGCCUGGGUAGUUAAUAGAAGCCAUCCACAAAGCCAGAAGUUGAAGAACACCUCCAGUGGUUUUGGUAUAACAAUGGCUUGGCAAACCUGACCCUCAGCAUCAACCACAGGGGCUCCAAGCCCCACCAGUGGACCAGAGAAGCCAAUUUCCUCCCCUUGUCCCUCUCACCAUCCUUCCUCCCCGAACCAUCAAACCAACUUGAUCCUCCUAACACAGCUGACUCCUCCAGUUUACCUACGGUUGGAAAGAAUGAGUUUGGAACAGAUGGAAAUACUGAACUGUAUUCCUUUUAACAGGUCCAACUUGUUCUCUAUAAAAAAAGUUAGACUAGCGGAGGCCCAGGGGAGCGGCGGCCGGGACGCCGCCGGGCGGGCAUGGGUUGGAAUCCGAGCCCGAACCCCGACCUGACGACAACCAGCAUCAGGUGGUUACUAAUUUUAACUGCUCUUCAUUCACCUAUUGAUGCCUCCCAGAAAAAAACGCCGCCAGCCUUCCCAGAAAGCCCAGCUGCUAUUCCAAGAACCACCACUGGAGGGCCCCAAACACCAUUAUGGCUCUCCCCAGCUUACCAUUACCCACACUAGACAGGUGCCCAGCAAGCCCAUUGACCGUAACACCGUCACUUCCUGGGUAUCACCUCAGUUUGAUACGGCAGCAGAAAGCUGGUUCCCUGUGAACCAGAAAUGUCAUCGUUGAAACCAGGCAAGACAUGCAAGUCGAAAAUCUACCGCCUCCAAGUUCCCACAUCUAACAUUUGACAGUCCACUGUCUUCCUCCUGUUUAGCCACACUUGGGAUCCCCUUACGCAGGGAAUGCCCCGGUCAAUCAGAAAAGCGCAUUUCCGGAAGGCCCUUAGUUCCAAUGCUCCGUCCUCAAAGCUGUGGGGAAGUGUCAGUACAUGCGCUUCAAAACUUACCUUAUGUAUUCAUUCCCCCUGAUAUCCAGACCCCAGAGUCAUCGUUUGUGAAGGAGGGGCCCAUUCCCCCAGAUCAGAGGGAAGGUAGCCUCCCUAGCUGCUCCUUCCACGCUAGUACUCCCAAGAGCUCAGAGCCUGGGCCUGUUCUAGUUGAAGACACUCCCGAGGAGAAGUAUGGGAUCAAGGUCACAUGGAGGAAACGAUGCCACUUGUUUACUUACCUCAGGGAGAGAGGGAAGCUGAACAAAAACCAGUUCCUUGUGAAAAACUCACUGGAUUUCUCCGACACCAGCAGUCUCAAGAAAUUUUCAUAAAGUUGCUAAAGUACUUUUCUGGCUCACAGGAGAGUACAUCAGGAGAAUAAAAUGGAAAUAAUACCAAUAACCUCAAAAGAAAAAAAGAUGUUUUAACUAGAACCUUGGAGUCAUAAGGGAAUUCAGUUCCCAGAUUUGCUUUUUAAGAUGUCUUUUCCUAAAAAGUUUUUAGUGUCAUAAACAGUUCAUAUUUUUCUUAACAUUAACUGUCUAAAAUUUUAAAGUAUCUUAUAGUAACUUUUAAAAUGUAUGUAAAUAAAUGGUUGCAGAAAUGUUUUACAGAAUCCUGCUUCUGAUUACCGAUCACGCAGCAAUAUUGCCUUCUCCACAAAAGGUCUUUCUUCGUUGUUUUUUAAAAACUAAUUAAUCCUCUAAUCACCUUGUCCAAACUAAUUCAUUCCACACUUUUGAGUACCAACUCUGUGUCAGGCUCAGCAGCAGCUUCCUUUAUGACAUGAUGGACAGGAAAAAUAAAAGCAACCUCUGUGAAAAAAUAAAAGACUAAACUGCACUGUAUUCUAGGAAAAUUUUUAAGCUCACAGACCUUUUAUUUUUGUAUGUUCUCCCCAUGGUAAGGGAUGACUGCUUCUAUA